rnacentral:rRNA from 1 species
UACAGAGGUCUCGAGCGUUGUUCGGAUUCAUUGGGCGUAAAGGGCGCGUAGGCGGCGGGGUAAGUCUGGUGUGAAAUCUCGGAGCUCAACUCCGAAACUGCACUGGAUACUGCUCUGCUAGAGGGCUGGAGAGGAGAUCGGAAUUCACGGUGUAGCAGUGAAAUGCGUAGAUAUCGUGAGGAAGACCAGUGGCGAAGGCGGAUCUCUGGACAGUUCCUGACACUGAGACACGAAGGCCAGGGGAGCAAACGGG